rnacentral:rRNA from 1 species
UACGUAGGGGGCAAGCGUUGUCCGGAAUCAUUGGGCGUAAAGGGCUCGUAGGCGGUUUGUCGCGUCGGGAGUGAAAACCUUGGGCUUAACUCAGGGCUUGCUUUCGAUACGGGCAGACUAGAGGUAUGCAGGGGAGAACGGAAUUCCUGGUGUAGCGGUGAAAUGCGCAGAUAUCAGGAGGAACACCGGUGGCGAAGGCGGUUCUCUGGGCAUGAUCUGACGCUGAGGAGCGAAAGUGUGGGGAGCGAACAGG